rnacentral:misc_RNA from 1 species
UCCGGUUUGGCACCGGCAGUCUUCCUAGAGUCCCCGCCAUUACGCGCUGGCAACUAAGAACAGGGGUUGCGCUCGUUGCGGGACUUAACCCAACAUCUCACGACACGAGCUGACGACGGCCAUGCAGCACCUGUCACUUGGCUCCCGAGGGCACCCUCUAAUUUCUUAAAGAUUCCAAGGAUGUCAAGCCUGGGUAAGGUUCUUCGCGUAUCGUCAAAUUAAACCACAUCAUCCACCGCUUGUGCGGGUCCCCGUCAAUUCCUUUGAGUUUUAGCCUUGCGGCCGUACUUCCCAGGCGGCAUACUUAUCGCGUUAGCUGCGUUUCGCAGGGGGUCGAUACCCCACAAAACUAGUAUGCAUCGUUUACGGCGUGGACUAC